UAAGGAAUAUUGGUCAAUGGAGGCAACUCUGAACCAGCCAUGCCGCGUGCAGGAUGAAGGCCCUAUGGGUCGUAAACUGCUUUUAUACCGGAGAAAACCACCGUACGUGUACGGUGUUGAUAGUAUGGUAAGAAUAAGCAUCGGCUAACUUCGUGCCAGCAGCCGCGGUAAGACGAAGGAUGCAAGCGUUAUCCGGAUUCAUUGGGUUUAAAGGGUGCGUAGGCGGACUUGUAAGUCAGUGGUGAAAUCUCUUUGCUUAACAAAGAAACUGCCAUUGAUACUGCAGGUCUAGAGUAUAGAUGACGUUGGCGGAAUAUGACAUGUAGUGGUGAAAUACUUAGAUAUGUCAUAGAACACCGAUUGCGAAGGCAGCUAACGAAACUAUAACUGACGCUGAGGCACGAAAGUGCGGGGAUCAAACAGG
rnacentral:rRNA from 1 species